UACGUAGGGUGCAAGCGUUAAUCGGAAUUACUGGGCGUAAAGCGUGCGCAGGCGGUGAUGUAAGGCAGUUGUGAAAUCCCCGGGCUCAACCUGGGAACUGCAUCUGUGUCUGCAUCGCUGGAGUGCGGCAGAGGGGGAUGGAAUUCCGCGUGUAGCAGUGAAAUGCAUUGAGAUCGGAAAGAACACCAACGGCGAAAGCACUCUGCUGGGCCGACACUGACACUGAGAGACGAAAGCUAGGGGAGCAAAUGGG
rnacentral:rRNA from 1 species